UACGGGGGGGGCAAGCGUUGUUCGGAAUUACUGGGCGUAAAGCGUGCGCAGGCGGUUUUGUAAGCCAGAUGUGAAAUCCCCGGGCUUAACCUGGGAAUGGCAUUUGGGACUGCAAGGCUUGAGUGCGGCAGAGGAGACUGGAAUUCCUGGUGUAGCAGUGAAAUGCGUAGAUAUCAGGAGGAACACCGAUGGCGAAGGCAGGUCUCUGGGCUGACACUGACGCUCA
rnacentral:rRNA from 1 species